rnacentral:rRNA from 1 species
AACGAACGCUGGCGGCAUGCCUAACACAUGCAAGUCGAACGAAGGCUUCGGCCUUAGUGGCGCACGGGUGCGUAACGCGUGGGAAUCUGCCCUCAGGUUCGGAAUAACAGCGAGAAAUUGCUGCUAAUACCGGAUGAUAUCGCGAGAUCAAAGAUUUAUCGCCUGAGGAUGAGCCCGCGUAGGAUUAGCUAGUUGGUGUGGUAAAGGCGCACCAAGGCGACGAUCCUUAGCUGGUCUGAGAGGAUGAUCAGCCACACUGGGACUGAGACACGGCCCAGACGCCUACGGGAGGCAGCAGUGGGGAAUAUUGGACAAUGGGCGAAAGCCUGAUCCAGCAAUGCCGCGUGAGUGAUGAAGGCCUUAGGGUUGUAAAGCUCUUUUACCCGGGAUGAUAAUGACAGUACCGGGAGAAUAAGCUCCGGCUAACUCCGUGCCAACAGCCGCCGCAG